rnacentral:rRNA from 1 species
GAUGAACGCUGGCGGCGUGCCUAAUACAUGCAAGUCGAGCGAACGGACGAGAAGCUUGCUUCUCUGAUGUUAGCGGCGGACGGGUGAGUAACACGUGGAUAACCUACCUAUAAGACUGGGAUAACUUCGGGAAACCGGAGCUAAUACCGGAUAAUAUUUUGAACCGCAUGGUUCAAAAGUGAAAGACGGUCUUGCUGUCACUUAUAGAUGGAUCCGCGCUGCAUUAGCUAGUUGGUAAGGUAACGGCUUACCAGGGCAACGAUGCAUAGCCGACCUGAGAGGGUGCUCGGCCACACUGGAACUGAGACACGGUCCAGACUCCUACGGGAGGCAGCAGUAGGGAAUCUUCCGCAAUGGGCGAAAGCCUGACGGAGCAACGCCGCGUGAGUGAUGAAGGUCUUCGGAUCGUAAAACUCUGUUAUUAGGGAAGAACAUAUGUGUAAGUAACUGUGCACAUCUUGACGGUACCUAAUCAGAAAGCCACGGCUAACUACGUG